rnacentral:rRNA from 1 species
GGGUGAGUAAUGCAUCGGAACGUACCUUUCAGUGGGGGAUAACGUAGCGAAAGUUACGCUAAUACCGCAUAUUCUGUGAGCAGGAAAGCAGGGGAUCGCAAGACCUUGCGCUGUUGGAGCGGCCGAUGUCAGAUUAGCUAGAUGGUGGGGUAAAGGCUCACCAAGGCGACGAUCUGUAGCGGGUCUUAGAGGAUGAUCCGCCACACUGGCACUGAGACACGGUCCAGACUCCUACGGGAGGCAGCAGUGGGGAAUUUUGGACAAUGGGCGCAAGCCUGAUCCAGCCAUGCCGCGUGAGUGUAGAAGGCCUUCGGGUUGUAAAGCUCUUUCGGCCGGGAAAAAAUCGCUUGGGUUAAUACCCUGAGUGGAUGAUGGUACCGGAAUAAGAAGCACCGGCUAACUACGUGCCAGCAGCCGCGGUAAUACGUAGGGUGCGAGCGUUAAUCGGAAUUACUGGGCGUAAAGCGUGCGCAGGCGGUUUUGUAAGACAGGCGUGAAAUCCCCGGGCUCAACCUGGGAACUGCGUUUGUGACUGCAAGGCUAGAGUAUGGCAGAGGGGGGUGGAAUUCCACGUGUAGCAGUGAAAUGCGUAGAGAUGUGGAGGAACACCAAUGGCGAAGGCAGCCCCCUGGGCCAAUACUGACGCUCAUGCACGAAAGCGUGGGGAGCAAACAGGAUUAGAUACCCUGGUAGUCCACGCCCUAAACGAUGUCAACUAGGUGUUGGGUGGGUAAAACCAUUUGGUACCGUAGCUAACGCGUGAAGUUGACCGCCUGGGGAGUACGGCCGCAAGGUUAAAACUCAAAGGAAUUGACGGGGACCCGCACAAGCGGUGGAUGAUGUGGAUUAAUUCGAUGCAACGCGAAAAACCUUACCUACCCUUGACAUGCCAGGAACUUGCCAGAGAUGGCUUGGUGCCCGAAAGGGAGCCUGGACACAGGUGCUGCAUGGCUGUCGUCAGCUCGUGUCGUGAGAUGUUGGGUUAAGUCCCGCAACGAGCGCAACCCUUGUCGUUAAUUGCCAUCAUUUAGUUGGGCACUUUAACGAGACUGCCGGUGACAAACCGGAGGAAGGUGGGGAUGACGUCAAGUCCUCAUGGCCCUUAUGGGUAGGGCUUCACACGUCAUACAAUGGUCGGUACAAAGGGUUGCCAAGCCGCGAGGCGGAGCCAAUCCCAGAAAGCCGAUCGUAGUCCGGAUCGCAGGCUGCAACUCGCCUGCGUGAAGUCGGAAUCGCUAGUAAUCGUGGAUCAGCAUGUCACGGUGAAUACGUUCCCGGGUCUUGUACACACCGCCCGUCACACCAUGGGAGCGGGUUCCGCCAGAAGUGGGUAGCCUAACCGCAAGGAGGGCGCUUACCACGGCGGGGUUCGUGACUGGGGUGAAGUCGUAACAAGGUA